rnacentral:rRNA from 1 species
AACGCUGGCGGCAGGCUUAACACAUGCAAGUCGAGCGCCGUAGCAAUACGGAGCGGCAGACGGGUGAGUAACGCGUGGGAACGUACCUUCUGGUUCGGAAUAACUCAGGGAAACUUGAGCUAAUACCGGAUAAGCCCUUCGGGGGAAAGAUUUAUCGCCGGAAGAUCGGCCCGCGUAAGAUUAGCUAGUUGGUGAGGUAAUGGCUCACCAAGGCUACGAUCUUUAGCUGGUCUGAGAGGAUGAUCAGCCACAUUGGGACUGAGACACGGCCCAAACUCCUACGGGAGGCAGCAGUGGGGAAUAUUGGACAAUGGGCGCAAGCCUGAUCCAGCCAUGCCGCGUGAGUGAUGAAGGCCUUAGGGUUGUAAAGCUCUUUUAGCAGGGACGAUAAUGACGGUACCUGCAGAAAAAGCCCCGGCCAACUUCGUG